CAAUCUGCAGGGGCAGAGAGCAAGGAGCUGUUUCCCAGGCACUCCGGCAAAGCCCAGCAUUCACCAGCGUUGUGAACUCAGUGAAAUCUAGUCUCUGUUAACAAGCUUAACAAGAGCAAGGGGGCAGGUGGGCAAGAAUGCUCACAGUCCUCCCUGAUAAAGAUGCCCAGGAGUUUCCACUGGGAGUGAGACUAAAAAUCCAGCUCCGUGGGGAGCAGAAGAGGGUAGGCCAUCAGUCCCUGAAAUGUCAGAUACUGGGGUGGCCGAAUAUUACCAGCCCAGCCCCCCAAGGGAACUUAGUGGGCAAAAACACUAAAUUCAACAUUGGCCUUUAACAUUCGCCCAGGCUACUUGGUUCAACACACAGGCAAAGAUUGAUACAGGUCCCUACCUGUGCCCAUGGUCAGCCCCGCCCCCUCCACACCCUGCGUAGGAAAUGAGCAAAGUAGUUUAAAAAGGCAUUGUAGAAAAAGAACUGUUGGGGUAAGUCUGCCAGAUGUGACAGAUAAAAUGACAGGAUGUUCAGUUAAGUCUGAAUGUAACAUAAACAACUUUUUUGUACUGUAGGAAACGUAUUUAAAAAGCUCAUUUAUCUCACAUUUCACUGGGUGUCAUGGAUUUCAACUGGCAACCCUACAUAGAGGGAAGGAAUUUUGCCAGGGUUUCUGGAAAAAGAAACCUUCAACCUUCAGUAAUGCCUCCCUGUGGAGUUGGGGUUGGGAAGGAAUGAGAUGUUGGGGUGGGGGUAAGGGUGAGGCAGAGGCAUUUCCAGGUCCAGCUUGUCCCAGGGGCUCAUGGACAGUGGCUGGGGAGCCCCGUGAAAUGCAGCAAGAAUAACACUCAGAUGGAGAACCCACAGCUGUGCUGACUCAGGACAGGUGCCUAUGGAUGUAUGUUUAAAAUCCUGGCAGGCCCCGACCACUGUCGCUCUGGAGUCAGAUCAGCACAGGGGCUCUGUCUUUGGGGUGAUGCUGGGGGAGCCCCAGGCUUGCAGGGUGCUGGGAGGCUGAGAGCUCAUGGUACCUCCAGCUGCUCCUCUGUGUUUUUCCUCAGAGCCUCCUCGAAGCGCCGGGCUCGGUCCCGCAAAGACUGGCUCUGGAAGGUCAGCGUGUCCACUUGGUCCUGCAGGGCAGACACUGUGCAAGAAACACUGCCUGGGGAAAGUGAGCUAUUCAAAAAGCAAAAUUCCCGCCUUUCUAUUUGAGUUAUGGUCUUUGCCUUCCAAACCUCCAAAUGAUCACUUUUC